CUUCAGUUUCUAGUACAACUGAGCCCUUGCCACCUACAACUGCUCGCCAACAACAAUGGAAACGACAACAAUCAUUACUGAGACACCGGUUUCUAGUACGACCGAGACACCGGCAACUACAACUACUCGACCAACAACAGUGGAAACGACAACAACCACCCCAUUCACUUCUGAGACACCUACAGUUUCUCGCACGACCGAGCCAUCGCCGACUAUAACUACCAGACCAACAACACCGGAAACGACAACAGUCACUC